GCUUUUCUUUUUAGUUUUCUCUUUCUUUUUUUUAAUUAAAAAAAAAAAGGAAAAUACAUGUCUUAAAAAUACGUUGAUAGGACGUGUCUUAAUUUCUUAUUAAUUUCUUAUUAAUUUCCCCAAGAAAGUUCUAAGUAUUAAUUUCUCCUUUUUCUUAAAGCACGCGAAACUGAAUCUCUAUUCUAUAAAGGAACAGCUGAGGUUACUUUCGUAAUUAAACUUUUCGUGUCCCCAAAGUAAAUGACAAAAAUACCCUCACACCCUUCCCAUUUCGUUGGUUAUCGGCUUAUCGCUGAGCCUCUCCCUCACUUUUCUCUCUCUUCACUUUUCCCUCAGCAAACAGCCGUUUCUAGGGUUAGAGAGCCCCAAUCUCAUACUCUGUCUCCAGACCGGCCUCCUGUAAGCCUCCGUUCAUCCAGUCGUUGUCGCCGCCGCCGCAGCCUGCUAUGGUAGUCAGUUGGUUGUUGGUGUUGACAAGUUUUGUUGUCGUCAUUAGUGUUGUAAUUUACUUUCAUCGCUGAAGGAUCGCCACCGUCACAUCUUUCGCCGGAUUUCGGUUCUACUGUCGACGGUUAUGCUGCUGGUUGUGGUUGAUUGUCUUCGUGGCAGCUUUGCUUAUUUAUUCUCCUCAGGUUUAUUUCUCGCAAACCAGUUUGAUGAUUAGGAUUUUAUUGGAACCAGAGAAGUAGGGGAGUUUCUUAGUGGUGCUUUGGCUGGGGCUAUGUCGAAGGCGAUUUUGGCACCUCUUGAAACCAUAAGGUUUAACACUUUCAAGAGAAUCUCAAACUGAAGCAAAGCCAAAUCGGUGUAGCAGCCUCAAUGACUGCAAAUUAGAGUUGUCCAUGUGUGAACAGAAUCUGCCAGUGUCAUAAAACCAGGGUGGCAGAAGAAGCUUAUUCAUAGAUACCAUCUCAACUAAAUGACAAUGCCAGACUUCUAUGUUAUGGAGACUGUAAAUGCAAACAAACCGAAGUUGAAGCAGUCUAUCAAACCCUAGAUUUCCCGCCUCCAGUCGCUGUCUUCGCUUCUUCUCCUUCCCGCUGCUCUUCUCCAUCUCCGCGAUCCCCUUUUCCCUCAAUUCUCUGGAUCUGACUUCGGAGUCUCCUUAUACAAGUAUGAAUUUAUGCAUCUUUUUUUGUUAAUCUGAUUUCAAAAUUUUCAUAUAAUACUUGAAUUGAUCGAUUUCAAUUAAUUUUGUUCUUGCACAGGUAACAGUUUAGCAAACUGAACUAUUUUUUUUAGGGAAAGCAAACUGAACUAUUAGCAUUACUGUUGUAUAUUGUUGAAGUGUGGAUGUUAAUGCAGUAUCUGUUUCUGUUGGGACAACUCUUUUGCAAAUGUAUGCAAAGUUUGGUGAAGCAGACCCAUCUCCGCUACUAUUUGACCAGCUUCAUCCAAAGGAUCUUAUUGCUCGGACUGCAAUGAUAUCUGCUUAUUCUCAAAGUGGGUACACGAGUGAGGCUCCCAAUAUAUUUAAGCCAUAUGCAAUUAGCAAACAGAAACCUAAUGAUAUCACUUUUUUCAGUUGCUAUUUAAAUAGGGAUGAUGUAUAAUUUUCUUUUGUCAGUUGCUAUUUAAAUAGGGAUUACGUAUAAUUUGUCUUUAGAUGAACUUUGUGAACAGGUUUUUUGGCAUAUUAAUUUUGGUCAUUAGUUGUAAUAAAACAAUUUAAAGUUCUGAUAUUAUCUCGCACGCAUCGCGUGCAUAUAAGACUAGUUUCAAAAUAAUAAAAGAUCUUGAUUUUGUAUGAACUUAACU